AAAGAUUCCAACUAUACAUAUAUAGGAGGUAGCAGACACUUUCUCACUACAUACUAUUGUGGACUUCUCAAAUGGAAAAUGACAGGCAUAUCUAUUAGACAGAAUUGAGGCACCAACAUGCAAAUUGUACAGUUGUUCUGGGCAACAAUUUCUUCCUAUGACAAUAACCCUGGAUGUGGGCUCUUGCUGUAAACGACAUCACAAGACCAUCAAGCACUUUCAAGUCCAGCUGAAGUAGAGUGAAAGAAAAUCAUUUCUGAGAGUUAUGAAAGGUCAUGAGUGAGGAAAUGCAUUCCAGGUACUCCCGGUACACAGAGACACAUAUUAAAUAAACCUUCUACAAGAGUAACCCGUCCAGAAAUGCAGCAAGAGGCUUCCAAAGGGCUAGAUUUAUUACAAAUUAAUCAAAUAGCAGAUCAUCUCUCCAAAUCAUCACUUCUAUCAAGCCUAUCGCUUGAGCAGUGUUAUAGCACUCAGCCCUCAGGGCAAAGAUAAGUCUUCACCAUUGUCACACGUAGCACACACAUAUUCAGCCAUAUCAUGCUGAAUGGGAAUACAGGACUUUGUAGAAACAGAACUGAUUCCUGCAGAAUAUCCUGAGAUACUUAUCAAGCUGUUAAAGGAGACAUCAGUCUUUUGUCUGUAUUGCCCUUGACACCUCCUCAAGGAAAGUAUCUAGAAAUUCUUUGUCUUCUGAAGAACCCUCAGACCUCUUAGGUCUAAUGUAGGUUAAGUGCCCUGCAGAUCUCCCUAGAAUAGAAAAGCACCUUGAAAACUGUAGUCUGACUUAAUAGACACAAAUAUAAUGAAAGCACUAAUUCAUAAGAUCCUGUUAUUUGAAGGAAAAAGCAGCAAAAGGCACAAGCUUCAGAUAUUGGUCUUGCACAGGAAAAAGCUGGAAUUCUACCCUAAAAUUUAUCAGAUACAACAAUGACCUCUAAAAAUCCAACAAGGGUAAAAUGUAUAAAGGUAAAUUACCACAUUAUCAUCCGAUUAUCAUUGCUUGUUUUGUCAAGGGUAAAUGACUAUCUAGCAGCAUUCAGCGUUUGCUUAUUGAUUAAUGCGUACAGUACCAGCACCUCUCUGCACAGCGGUCCUCGCCUUGCCUCCCACUCAACAGCUGUGUUGAAACUGACCAUUUUAUUACAGGUUGCAGGCUGUGUAUAAUUCUCCUUGCCCAUUUUAGAGGCAUUAAAUGAAAACGGAUAAAUUAUUAGAGAUUACUGGGCACUGCAAAAGAAAUAAUUGUGUUGUUUUUAUUCCUGAAAAUACAGAAAAAUCACUGUGUUUAACUGUUGUCAUAAUUGAAAUUUGAUUCCAUUCACAAACUCAAAACGGCACUUUUAUUGCUUCUCCAUCUCUCCUGCCCAUUUCAUUCUCAACAUCAUCUGACAGAACUUUAUACAAAUCUCCUAAGGACAAACAUUUCCAGUUUCACUUUUUUUCUUCCCCCAGAUAAAUCACAGUAAAUGUGGUGUUCUUAUUUCAUCUCAGAUUUAAAAAAAAGAAAACAAACCUCCCUCAGCAGAUGAAACAAAACAACCAAACUCAGACAGCAAAGAGGCACACACAACAUCUGAGAUUAAUAGACCCUAUUUCGUCUCAAAGCGCUUUCUUGAUAUAAACAAUACAUAAGGGUCACCCCACACACCACUGAAACGUAGCCUCCUCUGAGGCACAGAAACUAUAUAACCCGGAGAAACACUCACUCCUUCUUGAGGGCAAGGGGAAGCGACUUUUUGUACUGUGGUAGCUCAGAGCUUCACCCCGACCCAAUAUCCUUCAAAACUUCUGCUAGCUGAAGAUGGAAUAAAGCAACUGCUCUAGAACCCCUCUGGGUUCAGCAGAUCAAUCCAACAACUAAUUAAACCAGAAGCAGGGGAAAGAUGCCAGGAGGAUAGAUGAUGGGUGGGGGUGAGGCUUCAGAUCUGGCUGGGCCUCACCUCUCACUCCAUAUUCUCCCCGACAGUCUGGACACACCAAGGUAGGGUGAGAUUCUGAGAUGGGAUCUGCUGGGCCCCUAACGUACCUCCCAAGGAGGUAUCUGUGCAGCUCAGGGAAGGCACCUUGGGUCUCUCAGUGGAGAAAAAUUAGUAUUAUCUGGGUUCAAACACAAAUGUGGGUGUUUGUUAUUUUAAAAUGUACGGUCUGCUUAAAGGAAUGACUAGGAAUGUGAACGUGUGUUGUAUUUGUGAGGAAGAUGUGAUAAGAAGCCAUCCUAAUCAACUUGCCAGGUACGUAUAUUUCAAGUACCUUACAUCUCACUUAAUCUGCCAAUAACUUUACAAGCCAUGUAUCUGUACUGUUAUUUCCACUUUACAUAUGCGCAGACCGAGGUUUGGAGAAUUAAUCUGUCCCACGUUACACAAAUAAUACGCAGCAAACCCUGAUUUGGCACCCAGAUGGCUCUGACUUCAAAUCCCAUGCUAGCUUCUUCUCCUGUUCUACCCAUGAAUGACAUCAGGGGAAGCUGGCGAGACUUGGAAUUACUUCCUAGAUCUCUGGAAGGCAGGCAACUAAUGUUUGAGUGUAAUGAGAGCAUAAGCAGAGUCCCAGGAAAAGUAAGAGGGAAGCAGAGGGGAAGCUGGGCACGAGAAGAGUAGGAAACAAUCAGACAAAGCUCAGGGAGGGCUUGGGAGUUCUGAGAUGGCAGACUAGGAUACUGAGAAGUUUGAUGAGAAGGAUCAAAAGGGAAACUCGCACAAAAGGAGGGUAAAAUCAAAGGAUGCCAGCGAAACAGUUGAAACUGGUAAAUCUGAGCUAAGAGAGCUGAGUAACUAGAAACUGUAACUGUGAGCUGCUUAAACUCUGUUCUCUACAUUCUUUUGUCUGUGGUCAAUGUCACUUGUAUAGAGGGUUGUGUGUAACAAAUAGGUACAAGAGUGGUAUAGGUAGGGAGUCAGAAAGUCUACCAGGUUGGGACCAAGAGGAUAUAAGGGAUUUAUUCACUUAGUCAUUAAUUUACUCAUUCAUUCCUUUAUUUAUUAAAAAUGUUUAUCAAGAGUCUACUAUUGGCUAGACCCUGAAAAUAACAAAUAAGACCACAAUAUAGCUCCUACCCUCCUGUUGAUUCCACUGUGGUAGAGUGCAUGGACAACUGUUCAAUCCUUAACUGAUUGUUCUAAGAAGGAGAAGUAUUUGGGGAACACUAAAGAGAGGCCCCCAACUCUGUUAGGGUGAGGCUGGUCAGAGACUUGACUUGAGCCCUGACUAAUAUGUAGGAGUUAACUAGUGAGAUGAAAGGGUGGAGGAAGGAGGAUGUAUUCCAGGUCAAGGAAAUUUCAUUUUUUGCAAAGGCAUGGUAACAUGCCAAAAAAAAAAAAAAAAAAUCCUUGAUGUCUGUUUAUGUUGGUGUGAGUAGAAAGAGAGAACAGAUAUAUUGCAGAGUGAUGAGGCAUUGCAAUAAAGCAGACAGCUCUCUUUGCCUUUUUCUCUUGGAGUUGGAACUCUUGGUUGAUCUCAAAGGAAUGGAACAAUGAGGGUAAGUCAGGCUCAAGGGUUAUCUUGAUGCACACUUACACAAGCAGCUCCAUUUCUAUUAUCAGAUUCAAUUAUUCACCCUGAAAUUGAAAAUCCUCCUUACCUUGCCAUCCAACUAGAGGAACUGACUCCUAUCUCUCCCACCCCCACCAUGAGUUACCUCUCCUCUAGCUGUUUACCUCCAGGGCCUCUGCAUCAAUUUAUGAGCAACCCAUCUCAAAAUCUCCCAUCUCAACAAGGCUCCCCCGCUGCCUGAGCUACCUGCAUCCUCUUAGCAUGCUUGUACUGAAUAUACAGUGAACUUAAUUGGUAUUUGAUAUGUCAUAGCAUGAAAGCAUUCUUCAGCCAUUUCAUUUAUUACUCUUCAAGUUAGUCAUAUCAUCUUUUGCUGUCAGUCAAGAAUUGUUUCAUCUGGUUUUACCUUGUAGUCUCUGGUACGUGGUGGAUGUUCGGAAGCUGCUUGGGUCUGGCAGGAGGGCACCUAUAUUGGUUCAGGGAGGGUGCUGGGGAGAGCCGAGGAUUUGGAAUCAGAUUUGUUCAAUAUGUUACUCAUUUACUGAGCACCUAUUGCAUGCCAGGUGCUGUGCUAUAUGCUAGAAAUGAAAAGGUCAAUGGAAAAUAAACAGCUUCUCUGAGUAACAGGUGCUCACAGUAAGGCCUGGGGGCGGGAACUAGAUGGGCAAAUAUGUAAGUAUGUAACGGUGAUUUAAUAUGGUAAAUGUGCUAAGAGACCUGAGCCCUAGGUGCUGCGGGGCAUGACGAAAGCACAAAGAAGGAGUGAGGAGCUAAAAGGACAGGACCAAGAGGCUGUCAGAACUUUUCCUAAAUAAAAUGAUGCCUGAGUUGAACCUUUAGAGAGAAGCUUUACAGGUGUGGGAGAAGAAACAGCCUAAGCAAAGGACCUGAAGCAUAAAACAGCAAUACACCCAUGAGAAACUCCUUCCCCCUACAGCUCCAUUGCUAUAUUGUCAGGCAAUUCCCUCAAACUCCUAGAUUCUAUAACUCCAGGAUGUUGCAAAGAUCUAAUGACAUAACUCAAAUGAAAGCCAUGUUGUAAACUGUAGAGCACCAUGUAAAUGUAAUGUAUGUCAUGACAUUUCGACAGUUUUUUGGUGAAUAGGGUGUAGACUUCAGGAAAUGUCUGAGCAAUUGAACUGAGCCUGUUUGCCAGAGGUUGAUGACCCGUGCUUUAGGACAAGCAGAGAAGAACCCACCGGAAAUCCAACUAAGAUAAGCGAACUACAAUCACCUGAUUUAGAAGUUGGCCAGUAUCAUGAACAUUAGUGUGUUUGUUUACUCUGUCAAAACCACUGGGGGUUUUCAGUGAAUAUAGGAUGCCAAUAGUGAAUACCUAAUCCAAGAAGCCACAGCAUUUCCUCCAUCAACCAUGUCAGAACUGUUUAAUAUUUAUUUGCUACUUCCUUUAUAUACAGCCUGUUCAUCUGCCUCAGUAGAUCGUAAACUAAUCCCAUGCUGGGAGACCAAGAUCUAGAUACAGAAUGCAGAGGGAUGAGUUUAGAGAAGGGAGAAAUUUCUUCCCCCAGCCAUUGGCCACUUUACCUAUGCAGUCCCCAUGAUAAAACUCCAAAGGCCAGGCAGGGCAGGGCAAUUGGUAAGACUCCAUAGGAAUGCUUUAUGAGAAUUCUUAUCUUCAUCAUCAUCAUCAUCACCAUCAUUAUCACGACCACCAUCGCAAUUUUUACAUAAUAUUAUUGAGAGCUCACCAGGUCCUAAGAUCCACUUAAAGGGCUUUGCAUAGAUACAGAUUUAAUAUGCACAGUAACUCCAAUGAGGUGCUUAUUAUCAUCAGCCCCACUUUCAGGAUAAGGAACUGAGGGUCAGAGAGGUUAUAGAACUUGCCCUAGGGCAUGCAGCUAUUAGAUGGUCAAGCUGGGAUCUGAAGCUAGAUAGUCUGACUCUGGUUCUCCACUCUCUACACUUAGUUAUAUUUUCCUCGUACUAGGGGAAAGAAUCACGUAGCUACGAUCUAUUCCACAGUAUGUAAUUUCAUCAGGAAGAUGAGGAGGGAACAGAAAAACUUGUAUUUACAAGUGGUAGAAGAAUGAAAACAGACUAAGCAAGUAAAGAAUGCUCCCUUUUUAAAUCUAAAAGCCUCCCUUGAAACCCCUCCUUGAAAGGAAAGAGGAAGUAUUUACCUGAAAGAUUUUCUAAUUCUCUAUCUCACUUUAUGAUCUUAAGUUUAGUACCAGAGGAAAGUAAAACACAGAGGCUCUGGAGAUAAAAGACUUGUGUCAAAUUCUAGCUUUCCCACUGACUGCUAUGAUUAGCUGUGUAACCUUAGGCAAAGGUGCUUAAUUUAGUUUACUCAUCUGUAAAAUGGGCUUUAUAAAUACCUAUUUAGUAUACUUAGCAGAGAUGCUAUGAGGGUUAAGAGUGUGUGCAUGUAUGUGCAUGUGUGCGGACGUGUUCUAUCUUACCUCAUAGAAAGUGUUAAAUAGGGCUUAGCUACCAUUGUUAUUCAAUUUUCUUUGUGUUUAGCAUGCAGUAAUGCAUCCAUGUCGGUUACUAAACAAUAAUGUUCUUAACAUGCUAUACCAGUCUUUGGGGACAUGUGAAUAAAGUACAAAGUUGUUUAAAAGCAGAAAGAGGAAAAGAGAUCGUAAAGGUGUUAAGAGGGACAAGAUCCAUGAAGAGCAAUAAAUUCUGGAAAAGU